GGACCGUUCCGAACAAUCGCGCGGCGGCAUGGCGAAAGCCCCCGCCGUGAGGAAAGUCCGAGCUCCACAGAGCAGGAUAACAGAUAACAUCUGCCGAAGGCGACUUCAGGGCCAGUGCAACAGAAAUAAACCGCCCGUAUUUGCGGGUAAGGAUGGAAAGGCGAGGUAAGAGCUCACCGGCGCGCCGGAGACGGCGCGGCCAUGUAAACCCUAUCCGGAGCAACACCGCGGCGGGGGCAUAUGCUUGCUCGGCAGCCCCCAUGGAGGUGGCACAGACGUAUGCGGCGACGUAUGCGCAAGAUAGAUGAUUGUUCACGACAGAACUCGGCUUACAGGUCCGGUCCAGAA
rnacentral:RNase_P_RNA from 1 species